GGUUUCACUUCUGGGCACCUUUCACAUUCAAGGUUUCUGUCCCAGGCUUAACACUCUGCCACUUUUAGAGUAUUGCCCCAGUGUACUGCUGGUUCCACAGUCUCCACACAUUCACCAAUCAAGUCUCACACAAACCCCUAAACAAUCUCUCUGCUAUGUUCUGUUCAACCUCUCACUCCUAAUAUUCAGCUCCAACUACCUCUCAUUCCAUCUAACUCCAACUGUCUUCUGACCAACUGUCCUCCUUUUUAAAUCCUUUCCCCUCUGAACAUUCUGUGCCUGGUUACUAUGGCAACACACACUCUCCUGCACUCACUCUCCAGCUCCUAUAUGUACAUUCUAUCACACAGACACACAAAUUCACUGCCUUAUUUACAUAGUAGUCACCACCACCACCACCACCCCCCCUUAAGGAAAGAAGGGAAUUCAUAAGGAUAUGAGAAAUCCACUGCACCCCACCCCUUGGUCAGUGUCAGCUGCAGCAGGUUCCCAUUCUACCAUCUCUAAAGGAAAUUUGGAAGACUCAAAACACCUGGGAUGAAAUACAACAUAAAGAAGCCAGCAAAAGCAUGGACUUAUAAUGUACAUAUUUUAGGAAGAAUACUUAUUAAUCCUUACAAGUUUAAAAAUUCAGAAUUUCUGCAAUUAAAGAAAAAUAUAUAGUCAUAUAUACAGCAGAAUAUUUGAUUGAAUAUUUCUUGACAAUUGAUGCUGUCCACACCCAAUUGUAGUCAAGAGCAACUUUUUUAUUAUACUGGACUUGGAUGGUACAUUAUUGUUCCAGUCCAAUGACCUGUUGCACAUGCAGAGUUCCAAAUAAGUAGCAUGAGGACAAUGUCUGGUGGUUGAAUUGAUCGGGAUUUCUAGUGGCCUGUGGUGGCAUAAGGCACUUCUGUCCUUCCAUUGUUCUUUGGUUUUCCUCAUGACUUAGCAGAAUAAGAAUAUAUUUUUCAAAAUAAAUAAUGUGUGGAAUAUUUGCAUAAAAGCUGCAGAAUUUAUCUUUUGAGGCCAGAAUCUGGGUUAUUCUGAUGCAGAAUUUUUAUUUUUAAGCACAUAAUGAUUUAUUUAUUAUUUAUUUAUUAUUAUUUAUUUUUAAGCACACCAUACCAUUUCUAAAAAUGUGAAUGUAAACGGGGCCCACUGAAUUAUCUGAAUCAUAUAUACCCAAAAUACUUUGUUUCUUCUCAAAUAUGCCACAACAAAAUGCUCUUUCCACAGCCAUGAAGUAAAUUUGUCAUCAGGGUUAGAAAAAGUGUCAUGUGCAGCACAGGCUUUAAAUGGAUGGUUUCUCCUAGCUUAUCCCAGAAUGGCAUUGACUUGACAAAUGUGGGAAAGUCCACAGCUGUGAGAUGGGGGCUUAGGUUGUGGGCUCUUGGUCAAUUGAAAGGUUGCAUUAAAUGUAAAUUAUAGGACUGUUACUUAGAUAUAUACCCUUCUCAACCAGGUGAAAGGCAAACAGGUCCCGCACUAAUUCACAGAUGAGCUUGCUGGCAAAAGCAGGCAAGGAGGCAGGCAAUUAUAACUCUCAUCUAGGAAGGUAUUUCAUAUAAAGCCAUGCCAAACUUCUUCUUCUAUUUAAAAUAGAGCCUGCAAUGCUUUCUCUUUCCAGAUUAUGAACAAAAAAUGCCAUACUGGUAGCAAAUAUCCUGAUAACAAUUGCCUCUUAUUAAACAUUUAUUGAAAUAAAUUCCUAUCAUUUUCUUCUCCUUCCAGUAUUUACAGCUUAUUAUUAACAUCUGCCAACAUCACAGUUUCAUCUGUACAGAAGCCAAAGGGUAAAAAAAAAAAAGUCUCUCUUCCUCCCCUCCUUAACAUGACCUGUAGUUAGACAGAAAACAGUUUUCCCAGUCACCGCUUGGCUUCCUGUCUGUGACCUCUGAAAAGCAUUGGAGGCCAGGGUUAAUGGCCUUUCCAAUCUCUGUGAUAAGAAUUCAUUUUGUUCUAUUACCAGCAGUUAUCUCAGGAGCCUGCUGCAUCACUUCAGCAGGGUUCAAUCAAUGAGAGGACCUAAUGAAGUAACCAGCUGUAGCUCUAUUUCACCUGGUCAACUCUAUCAGACAAAUAAGAUCUAUCAGUCACACAUCUUACGACCAAUCCUAGAAACAGCAUCUUCACAAGCUGGACCUGUAUGCAUAUGGACUAAUGAUACCUCGCCAUUGCUUUUUAACCUUCUCUUUUAAUGUGGCUGAAAAUGGAAUGACAAGGGUUCAGAAAUGUUUCAUUAAGAGGACAAUAGCACAGCCUUAAAGAGGACUGUCUUACAGAGCAUUAAAAUGGUCUUGCUUAAUAGCAAACAUUUUGCUGCCUUGGAAUCCGGAUUCUUUGCAAUGCAGGGCUAGAAACUGUAUACACUUCUUUAAUCUAGUACUGACAACCCUCAUGGAAGAAAGCAAUUUGCUGAAAUAGAAAGCUCACCACACUAGCCUGAGUGGGUGCCCUAUGCUCUUCAGUGUGUCACAAGACAUUUCAUUCAGGGAACUCUGUGUACACAUAGAGGUAUCUGAAUAUACAGUACAAAUGGUGGACUUGAUCACUACAACUAAGUGGGACAGAUCCAUGAAGCUCUUUAUCACUUGCCUUUAAGAAGUCGUGAAAAUUCAUUAGCCGUCUUGUUGCUAAUGCAGCAUAGUUUUAUUUAGCCAAUAGGAGGACAAAGUCAUUUCAUAGACUCUUCAGAUAACAAUGGAAAUAGCCCCAUCACUUUCUCUGAAAAGGUGCACUUAAGAACUGGCUCAGCAAUGACAAUGAAUGUUACUGCACUAGCACCAGCACUUAGAGGCAGGACAGGUCUCAGUGUGGGAGCAAGAGACAGGGCUGUCUGCACUAGGUCUCAUACACUGGUAUGUUAUGAUCUGCUCUUCUAAGGCAUGGGCCACGAAUGCAAAGCAAUUACUCCGAAAGAAAAUGCCACAGAACCUAUAAGUCACCAUGAAGAUGCUGGUACCAAAAAUGAAAACAUACAGUGACAUACUGGCUGACAUCCAUACCAAUGAAGCACACAUGCAGCAAUGUUGCACAAAUGCAACAAGGAAGAGAAGAGAUGGUUUUUGUUUAUCUCCCCUUCCCCUUGUAGCCAUCAAUGACUCCAGAAAAAAUGUCCCUGAGUGUUGCACAGCCUUCAGGGACAUGUUUUCAGGAGUCAGCUAUAAAGGGAAGGGGAGAUAAACAAAAAUCCCCCCUCUUCCAUAGCACAUGCUGUGUAUUUGCUGCACACACACUUUGUUAGGCUAGAUGUCAACUGCUAAAAUUAGUUGGAUCCACCAUAUUUAAAUGGAUGAAUUUACUGACUAGAAACUGGAUCACACAACCUUCAGGAACAUAAUUCAGGAGGCACAGUGGACUUCAGAGGAAAGUGGAGAAUGGAGAUUAGUAAGAAUCACCCCUCCCACUCAUGCAACAGUGCAGCAUUAGUAUGAAUGUCAACACUGUUGCACCAGUGCAAUGCUAAUUCAGAUGUCUGCCAUAAUUUUAUUCAUUGGUUUUGCACACAGGCAAGUAUCCAAAGAACUGCUUUAGGAAUGCCCAGAGGUUUGGAAAGGCCUUGUUCUGUUUUUCCCCUUCAGUUGCAGACAUCUCCCCAUGUCAUGCCACAUACUGUUUCAAAAGAGGUUUGUUGUGUGGAAUGGAGAGUGAUAUUGAAGGAAUGCAUGGUCAAUGUCCCCUUGGGUGCGAGGAAGUACCUGUUUGGUCUUUAGAUCCCAGCAAAUGAUAUCAUAAAUUCUUUUUAAUCCCAAAUUUCCGUGGUAGUAAAUAAAGGACAAAUACAUCUAAAUAUUGCUGUGACAUAUUUAAGAGCAUAUUUCCCGCCACUAUACGUCUUCCUAUAUGUCCCUAAAAGAGAGCUGAACUGUCUAUGUUGCAUAUGGAAACAGAUAACUUUAUGCCUACUAGGCAUUUUGGGAACAUCUGUCAAUUUUUUUAUGGAAUGUACUGAUUGUGGGCUAUUGAUUGCAUUUAAACAAAGUUGUUGCGAAAAAAAAUCAGCUAACAAUUCGUGUAGAAAGGACUGAUCAAUAUUUAAAUGACUCUCUUUAUUGAUUUAAAAUUAACUUUCAAUUAAGAGAUCUAUAGGACUCUUAACUGCGACACUUAUCCAUUCAAGAGAAAAUAAAGGUACAUUUAUCGAUACACUUAAACAGCAGUGGCUGGUUUUCUAUUGAUUCAGUCAUUUGCGCUGGGAUUCGUUAGCGUCAUCAGGCUUUAACUUGCUUACUAGUUUUCCCAGUGUAUAUUACUGCAAGAUGAAGGAAUGUACGGUACAUGGAAAUGCAGAAAGCCUAGAGAGUUUAAAGGUACACUAAAAGUUAUAGCUGUAUUUAUAUAUUCAAUCUGGUAUAAAAGGAUCGGAGAUAACCACUUUGAAGACAAUCCAUUUUGAGUUUUCUAAGAUUUAAAUGGAAGAUAUUUCACAAUAACGAAACAAAAAUAGAAAAUAGCAGGCAUGGACACUAAGCAACACCAUUUGCCUGAAGUCGAAUUUCACAGAACCCUGCAGAAGCAAAAGAUGAAAGCCACUGGGCAACUUGUAUUGGGCUCAGAAAUUAUUUCUCCAUCAUGAUGAAAAAUAACCAUGGACAUCUGGGAGUUUAUUUUUCAAUUGUAUUUUUGACCUUCUCUCCAUAUUCAGAGUGAAUGAGACCAUGGAUAAGGAUCCCACCAGUCUAUUCCUCCUCUGAAGACAGAUAUCAUAAUUUUGGUAGUAUAAUAUGAACUCAGAAACUAGUUCAGUUUUUUCCUUGGAUUUUCAAACUUCAUACUUCUGAAACAGGACCUCAUAAUCUAACUGUGGCAGGAAAGCAGAUCUUUUCUGAAGAUGAGCCAUACUGGGCAAACAAUGGGAAUGUAACUAACGUAUGCCUAAGAGGCAAAACAAGUGAUUCAUUACAAAUGAUGGAAAUAAAUGUUAUCUAAUUUCUGAA